UACAGAGGGUGCAAGCGUUGAUCGGAUUUACUGGGCGUAAAGAGCACGUAGGUGGACGAGCAGGUUGGAUGUUAAAUCCCUGGGCUUAACCUAGGAAUGUCAUUCAAAACCAUUCGUCUUGAGUACAGAAGAGGAAAGUGGAAUUUCCGGUGUAGCGGUGAAAUGCGUAGAUAUCGGAAGGAACACCAGUGGCGAAGGCGACUUUCUGGUCUGAUACUGACACUGAGGUGCGAAAGCGUGGGGAUCAAACAGG
rnacentral:rRNA from 1 species